UUUUAAUGUACAGCAGGCGGCGCUAAUGCUGCUAUCGAGUGAAUUUUCGUACAACAAGAAGAAGAGGGUAAUAACGUCACGGCGCCGCGCCGCGUGCACGCUCUUUUCGACUCGUGGUCUUGUGUCGCGUGGCAGCAGAAACGUGUUGAUCUGUGCUAUGAAGGGUUUGGUUUCUCUUCCAAAGAUGACCGUGUGGUCGUAUAAAGACGACAGAGAUGAAAUCACGUGAAUUCUUACUGAAGUCACUUUGUGAACAGCAAAUAGCUAACAGUGGGUUGGACCUCAAAGGUUGAAGCUCAGAUGAUCUUCACAUUCAGGAUUUGGAGGCCAUUGUGCUUCAUAUGAACUGGAGUAAUGAAAAACUGUAGCAGUGGUGGUCUUCAUGCUGAAGGUGUUCAUUAAACUUCAUCAGGAAGAGCAGCUGGAGAGAUCAGUGAUGGACUGAACACCUGAAACAAAAGAUGUCUUUGUCCCUUUGUACUUAAAUGAUGAAUAAACAUUACAUACUGUUGGGAGUAUUGUAUUGGUUAUUGUUAGUUUGUGUUAAAUGUUAAGUCACAUCACCUUAUUGUAAAGUGUUAAUAGUUUUUUUUAUCGCAAUAAAUGAUGAAUCUUU